GAUGAACGCUAGCGGCAGGCUUAAUACAUGCAAGUCGUGGGGCAGCAUGAGUAGCAAUACUUGAUGGCGACCGGCAAACGGGUGCGGAACACGUACACAACCUUCCUUCAAGCGGGGAAUAGCCCAGAGAAAUUUGGAUUAAUACCCCAUAAAAUAUAAAAAGGGCAUCAUUUAUAUAUUAAAGCUUCGGCACUUGAUGAUGGGUGUGCGGCUGAUUAGAUAGUUGGCGAGGUAACGGCUCACCAAGUCUACGAUCAGUAGCUGAUGUGAGAGCAUGAUCAGCCACACGGGCACUGAGACACGGGCCCGACUCCUACGGGAGGCAGCAGUAAGGAAUAUUGGACAAUGGACGAAAGUCUGAUCCAGCCAUGCCGCGUUGAAGGAUUAAGGUCCUCUGGAUUGUAAACUUCUUUAUA
rnacentral:rRNA from 1 species